CCUGAGCUAAAGGUGAGCGCUCAACCGACUGAGCCACUCAGGCGUGCCAUACUCUGGGCUGUCUUGAAGCUAGUAGACUAUGUCUGAUUCAGUUCAUCUCCAGACCUCAUCCCCAAGGCUAGCACAUAUACAUAUUUUUUUAUAUGAAGGGGACUCAACAGAUAUGGAAUGAGGACACAGUCCCUGACCUCAAAAAGUCUAUGGUAGACCGGUAGUCUAAUGUUUCUGCAACAUGCUAUUCCACUCUCCUGCCUCUUCAGCGGUCACUAGGAAGGGUCUAAGGACUACAAUCACUUGUUCAUUCAUUCAUGUAUUCAACAAGUGCUGCAUUCUGCUUUUUAACUGGAAGCUUUUGGAAGGGCAAGGCUGUGGUUAGAUGGCUGGUGCUGUACUGCACAGGCUGAGAAUCGCAUGGGAAUAGACUCUUGCCCUCAAGGCAUCCCAUGCCUAAACCUUGGGGCUCCAGGGAGCCUUCCCUGCCCCUGCCUGGCUGACUAUUCCAGCUCCCCAGGCUUUCUCCCCUGCGAGCCUUGUUGUACUCCAGUCAGAACCAGACAGUUUGGCAUUAAUUGCUCUCUAAUUGUUUCAAGUGUGCUAUUUUUAUCUCCGGAGGACUUUGCACUCUCCUUGCAAACCGCCUGGUCUUUCAGUUUCACAUUGCCACUGUGCCCCCAGCGCCCGGUAAAAGCUUGCUGAUUGAUUUGCUGUGAGGGGUAAUUAUUUCCGAGGCUGCCCUGGGAUAUGGAUCUCUCCUGAAAUUGUUGCUGCUUCUGCCCCCUGCAAUGCCCUCCCACUCUCAGCAUCUCCCACUGGCUGUUGCUUCCAUGGGUGUCUCUAGAACCUCCUCUGUUUCUCCUUCUCUCUGUCUACUCCCCCUUCUGUCUAUGCCUCUGGGGUUCUCUCUUUCCACCAGUGCUCCUUUUGCAUAAGGGCUCUCUUGGCCAGAGCUGUUAUUCUUAUCAGCUGCCUCACCAUCUAUUUUUAUCUCUCCACGCAAAGUAUUAAAUACUUCUGGGACCUGCUAGGGUGAAUGAAGCUUCCACUUUGAAUUUCUGCGUUUUCAGUUUUAUUAUCUCAAGACACAGUUAAAAGAAAGGGGUCUUGGGGGAAAGAUGGAGCUGAGGUGAGGUCAAGUGGGAAGAGAGGCUUCUUUCUAGAAGGGCAAGCAGUGAUUGCUGAGAGGAGGGCUAGGGAGGGGCAAUCACCGAGGCCCCCAGCUCCUUGUUAUUUAGUCUCAGAAAAAAAGACAGUAAGGCGGUAGUGACAGCAUGGAGUUUUGCUUCCGAAGGCAUCUUAAGGUUCAGAGAAGCUCAGAAAUUUUUCUGAGAAUUGCCAUCAUGGCUCUCCAGACUGUUUGAAACUUGCUUACCCUGACAGUAGACUGAAUCAUAAGAUCUGUUACAGCUCUUGGGGCCUUAGAGAGGGUUUUGUCCCACCUCUUUCCAAGUGUGAGCUCUUGGGCAGAAUCUGAGCCAUUCAGAUUUACGAGGCCACUACUUCCAUUGAGGAGAGGCGCAGUGGUGAUAACUAUUUGGCAGAUCAAUCCAGCAAUAUUUAUUUGCCGCCUAGAAUGCUGGUACCAGAGCAUCAGGGUUAAGAGGCUGGGCUUGGCUUCACGUUGACCUGGGUUUAAAUCACAGAUGCAACAUUUUCUGCAGGAGUUCAGGCAGGUUACUCAAACUCUCUGAACCUCAGGUUUUUCAUAGCUAAGUGCGCAUAAUAAUACUUCAUGGGAUUAUGAUGAGGAUUAUUGAGUCAGGGAAAGCACUUAGUGGAAUGCCUGGUGCAUAGCAAGUGCUCAUUUGAGAGCUCAUAAUAUUAUUAUCCCAAGGGCAACUAUUACCUUCUUCCUAACCAGACUCCAUCCCAGUGCUCACCCAAAUCCUUUGGGGAACCCUGGGCCAAGUCAUCUACAUGGUGAGACACUCAGGGGCCACAUGAACAAGCCCCAAGUGACAAACAUGAGGCACCUGGGGCACUUUCCGUUGGCUGUGAUUGUUCAACCGCUUCUCUUAAGAGACCAAAACCAGGACGUGGCCCCUCUACAAGCCGGACUUAAAACUGAGGACCCGGCUCCAAAGAGCACCAAUGAGCUGCCUGAGUUGCCUGCCAAUCUCGACCAGUCAGGGCGAGGCCCUUCUGACCAAUCAGGACGAAGCUCUACCCUGCAGGACAAGACCCUUCAAACCAAUACCAAUCAGGAUGAAGCACUUUUUUUUUUUUUUUUCCUUUUCCUUAUUGGCACUUUAGCCUGCGUGGGAGCCUGAGCUGUUGCUUCCUCUGUGAGGAGCCUGGAUUUCUGACAGCCAGUGCAGCUGGUCCGUGUUCUUUCCUCUGCGCCAAAGCUCACGGGUAGUGAUGGAAAGAUAACACCGAGCAGGGGAUGGAAUCUGUACUUUGCUUUGAUGGCUGCUAUUGCUUGCGGCAGAAACCUGUGUGGAGGGACAGACCGGAGCCCUCCUUGGAGAGAAACCAGCAGCGAUGGAAAACUGAGGUGGUGAUAGAGCUAGCGAUCCCUCCCCCACACCAUCUGCUCCCAAUGCUUCCUUCUGUUCUUUGCUCCACAGAGCAGCCUUCCAGACAUAAGAUAGGAGAAUCAUCCCUCCUCCCUUCCUGCUUCAAAAGGACAUUAGGCAGGUGCAUUUGAUCACUGCCAGAGAUUGAACUUCUGCCAAGUUAUAGAAGUUAUGUAUCACUUUAACAUCUUUUUUCCAUCUUAAGAUAGGCAAUAAAGAGUGAAGGCUUCUGGGCACUAAAUACGUUUUCUAGUUCCAUCACGUUGGUCUAACAGGGUCUCAAAACGCAGGAGGACACAUCUUGUCCCACCAAGCUCUCGGGAAUAAUAAGAUGAUGCCUGUAAAGUAUUUGAUGGCUCCUAAAGUUGCUACUGAUCAAUUUGCACCACUGUUUUGGUUCGCAGUUGAUUCCACGUGCAUGGUUUCAAUGCUCAGAGAAGCGUUUUAAAAAUGUAGGAAUUACGGGGUGCCUGGGUGGCUCAGUCUGUUGAGCAUCCGACUUCACCUCAGGUCACGAUCUCAUGGUUUGUGAGUUCAGGCCCCACGUCGGGCUCUGUGCUGACAGCUCAGAGCCUGGAGCCUGCUUCGGAUUCUGUGUCUCCUCUUUCUGCUCACUUCCCCGCUUUGUGCGCUCACUUUCUCUCUCUUUCUCUCUCUCUCAAAAAUAAAUAAACAUUAAAUUGUUUUCAGUGUAGGAAUUAGGCCUGAAAAAGGGAUAUGAAAUGAAAUGGUUUCUAGAAUUUAGUGAUUUGUGGCUCUUGGUCAAGGAAACCCUGGUGCUCACUGAGAUUGUGGGUUCUUCACUGAAGACCAAGUCAGACCUCAUGAUGCCAGGCCCCUGGAUAGAGUCUCCGGACCAGGGCCCCAGCUCCUUCCUGCCCCUCGGCUAAGCUCCCUCCUCCCAGCAUGAUGUCCCCUGGAGCACAUUGACUGAUCUACCCUGUGUGAUGCAGAUGAUCCUGGCUGGGUCAGUUCUCACCCUAGGCUCCGUGAGUGCUCUGCCCUCUAGCCAGCCAUGCGCGCACUUUCUUUCACACUGGAAAUCUCAGCCUUCAAGAACUCAGAAAGUAUAAUCAGCUGUUCAGAUUUUCAAAGGACAGAUGUAAUGGGCAAAAAUCCAUUUCAAAGCCUGGGGCUGGAGUGAAUAGUGGUAAUAAAGUGAGGACAGUUUAUAAUCACUAAUCCUCUCCUGAAAGCAUUUCUUGGUAUUAUCUCUCGAUAAUCUCUCUUUCUGCCUCUCGCCCGGCCUUCAUUUUCCCUGCCACCUCCACCCUCCUUGUCUGAAACACAUAAAGAAAUGGUUUUUUUAUCUAAUGAAUUUUUGAAUAAAAUUGCGUAAUCUGUUUCUUAAUUUUAAAAGCAA